rnacentral:rRNA from 1 species
GGCAAGUCUGGUGCCAGCAGCCGCGGUAAUUCCAGCUCCAAUAGCGUAUAUUAAAGUUGUUGCGGUUAAAAAGCUCGUAGUUGGAUCUCAGCUCAUGCUAAGUGGUCCACCUAAUGGUGGUUACUACUUAGCUGAGCAUUUUACAGAUUUGUCUCUUGAUGCUCUUCACCGAGUGUCAAGAGUGGUCUGUACGUUUACUUUGAAAAAAUUAGAGUGCUUAAAGCAGGCAUCUCGCCCGAAUAAUCUUGCAUGGAAUAAUGGAAUAGGACCUUGGUUCUAUUUUGUUGGUCUCCGGAAUCUGAGGUAAUGAUUAAGAGGGACAGACGGGGGCAUUCGUAUUGCGCCGCUAGAGGUGAAAUUCUUGGACCGGCGCAAGACGAACUACAGCGAAAGCAUUUGCCAAGAAUGUUUUCAUUAAUCAAGAACGAAAGUUAGAGGUUCGAAGGCGAUCAGAUACCGCCCUAGUUCUAACCAUAACCAAUGCCAA